AGGGCACGACACCGGAGAGGGAGCCUGAGAAACGGCUACCACAUCCAAGGAUGGCAGCAGGCGCGCAAAUUACCCAAUCCCGACACGGGGAGGUAGUGACAAUAAAUAACAAUACGGGGUUCUUUAGGAUCUCGUAAUUGGAAUGAGUACAAUUUAAAUCUCUUAACGAGGAACAAUUGGAGGGCAAGUCUGGUGCCAGCAGCCGCGGUAAUUCCAGCUCCAAUAGCGUAUAUUAAAGUUGUUGCAGUUAAAAAGCUCGUAGUUGAAUUUCGGGGUUAGUAGGUUGGUCAUGCCUCUGGUAUGUACUGGUCUCACUGAUUCCUCCUUCCUGAUGAACCUUAAUGCCAUUAAUUUGGUGUUUUGGGGAAUUUGGACUGUUACUUUGAAAAAAUUAGAGUGUUUAAAGCAAGCUAACGCUUGAAUACAUUAGCAUGGAAUAAUGAAAUAGGACGUUCGAUCCUAUUUUGUUGGUUUCUAGGAUUGACGUAAUGAUUAAUAGGGAUAGUUGGGGGCAUUAGUAUUCAAUUGUCAGAGGUGAAAUUCUUGGAUUUAUUGAAGACUAACUACUGCGAAAGCAUUUGCCAAGGAUGUUUUCAUUAAUCAAGAACGAAAGUUAGGGGAUCGAAGACGAUCAGAUACCGUCGUAGUCUUAACCAUAAACUAUGCCGACUAGGGAUCGGAUGAUGUUAAUUUUUUAAUGACUCAUUCGGCGCCUUACGGAACA
rnacentral:rRNA from 1 species